UUUUGGACAAUGGGCGAAAGCCUGAUCCAGCAAUGCCGCGUGUGGGAAGAAGGCCUUCGGGUUGUAAACCACUUUUGUACGGAACGAAAAGGUCUGCCCUAAUACGGUGGGCCCAUGACGGUACCGUAAGAAUAAGCACCGGCUAACUACGUGCCAGCAGCCGCGGUAAUACGUAGGGUGCGAGCGUUAAUCGGAAUUACUGGGCGUAAAGCGUGCGCAGGCGGUUAUAUAAGACAGUUGUGAAAUCCCCGGGCUCAACCUGGGAAUUGCAUCUGUGACUGUAUAGCUAGAGUACGGUAGAGGGGGAUGGAAUUCCGCGUGUAGCAGUGAAAUGCGUAGAUAUGUGGAGGAACACCGAUGGCGAAGGCAAUCCCCUGGACCUGUACUGACGCUCAUGCACGAAA
rnacentral:rRNA from 1 species